CUUUAGCCCCGAUAGCAAUGAAAAUCCUUUUUCUAAAUCCUGUCAGGGUUUUAAACCCUGACAGGAUUGAAAAAGAUUGCAAUGAAUAGCGGGAAUAGCU
rnacentral:sRNA from 1 species